ACGAACGCUGGCGGCAUGCCUUACACAUGCAAGUCGAACGCGAAAGUCCUUCGGGGCGAGUAGAGUGGCAAACGGGUGAGUAACGCGUGGGAACAUACCUUCAAGUAUGGGAUAGCUCCGGGAAACUGGAAUUAAUACCAUAUAAUGUCUACGGACUAAAGAUUUAUCGCUUGAAGAUUGGCCCGCGUCAGAUUAGCUAGUUGGUGGGGUAACAGCCUACCAAGGCAACGAUCUGUAGCUGGUCUGAGAGGACGAUCAGCCACAUUGGGACUGAGACACGGCCCAAACUCCUACGGGAGGCAGCAGUGGGGAAUAUUGGACAAUGGACGCAAGUCUGAUCCAGCAAUGCCGCGUGAAUGAUGAAGGCCUUAGGGUUGUAAAGUUCUUUAAGUAGGGAAGAUAAUGACGGUAGCUGCAGAAUAAGCACCGGCUAACUCCGU
rnacentral:rRNA from 1 species